AGCGAACGCUGGCGGCAGGCCUAACACAUGCAAGUCGAACGAAGUCUUCGGACUUAGUGGCGGACGGGUGAGUAACACGUGGGAACGUACCUUUUGGUUCGGAACAACUCAGGGAAACUUGAGCUAAUACCGGAUGAGCCCUUAGGGGGAAAGAUUUAUCGCCGAAAGAGCGGCCCGCGUUAGAUUAGCUAGUUGGUGAGGUAAAGGCUCACCAGGGCGACGAUCAGUAGCUGGUCUGAGAGGAUGAUCAGCCACAUUGGGACUGAGACACGGCCCAAACUCCUACGGGAGGCAGCAGUGGGGAAUCUUGCGCAAUGGGCGAAAGCCUGACGCAGCCAUGCCGCGUGAAUGAUGAAGGUCUUAGGAUUGUAAAAUUCUUUCACCGGGGACGAUAAUGACGGUACCCGGAGAAGAAGCCCCGGCUAACUUCGUGCCAGCAGCCGCCGUAACAC
rnacentral:rRNA from 1 species